UACGGGGGGAGCAAGCGUUGUUCGGAUUUACUGGGCGUAAAGGGCGCGUAGGCGGUCGUGACAAGUCACUUGUGAAAUCUCCGGGCUUAACUCGGAACGGUCAAGUGAUACUGUCGGACUAGAGUACAGAAGGGGCACCUGGAACUGUGGGUGGAGCGGUGAAAUGCGUUGAUAUCCACAGGAACUCCGGUGGCGAAGGCGAGGUGCUGGACCCCAUCUGACGCUGAGGCGCGAAAGCCAGGGGAGCGAACGGG
rnacentral:rRNA from 1 species